AGUUGGGACAAAAAUCAUCGAUCCGAAAAGAUAUAAAUAUGCAGUGCGUUAUUGUUGAUAAAACUAGAUCGACUCAAUCCAUGAAGGCUGCAGUAUCCUCUUAGACCUCUUGAUAUAUAUUGUUUCUGGGUGUUGCUCUAAAACCAAAUCUAACGAUGAAUCGAACAGCUAUCCUGUGUCUAUUUGCCAUGUUAGUUCUCUUCAGCUCUGUCAAUGGCAAACGCCGUUUAAAUUCUCGUCGAUACAAAGAGAGUCCCAUCAUCAAGCGAGAGGCAUAUGAAGGGAUGGCUGGAGGUGCGAUGAAGGUUUCCAAAAUCAACCAGAAGGUGAAUGCAGCCAAUGAACCUCAUGGAGUCAUGCGGAAGAAGCUUGAGCACGGAAAGUAAUUGACUGGCCAGGCUGGGAGGACGCGGGAUCCAUGCAUCAUCAAACAUCUACCCAAACGAAAACCACACGAUACCACACACCCUGACCACUCACGCCCACCAGAUCAACUUUAACACGAAAAUUAGCGAUCAAUUGCUAAAUGGACUGGCCAAUAAAGAUCAAUAUUACAUGCGCAUUUGGUUUAAAAUAUUGACUAAGAAACAAUCAGUGUGGUUCUUUCAUAUUUGCAAUUCAUCGCAAACCUUUGUGUUACGAAAGCCAGAUCAGCUUUACUUAUAAAUUAAAAGUUCAUUCUCGUAUUCAUCUAUGAAUUAAUUAAUGAAUAAAUUAAUCAAUUAUCCCAUGCAAUAAUGAUAAUCAUUUUACAAAUUUAUAGCCAAUUAGUUACGAAUACAUCUAAAAGCAAGGAUAAUAGAAACCAGGAAAUACCAUGAAUGCUAGUCAAGUAUGGUCCCUUGGCAAUGAAAUAAUGUAAUGUUUUCUAACUUGUUACGUUAAAUUUAUUACUUGGCUUAUGAAUACAAGAUAAUCGAUGUUUCGACGUCAAAUUUAAAUUCAAAUUAAAGAAAAGAAAUACCUAUGAAUAGGUUAAGGAAAUAUUUCCUUCUGCUACCAAUGGAUCAAUGUGGGUGGCAUAUAUAGUCAUCAAAUAAACUUAAAGAAAAGCAUGCGUUGUAUUAUACCACAUGAAUUCUUGGUUUUAAUGGUUUGGGUGUUUUAUCUUGUAUUAUCUACAAAUUAUUUCAUUCUAGGUAAAACUGAAUAAAGAUAAAUAAUCAAACAGAAA